AGACCCGAAACCCGGUGAUCUAGCCAUGGGCAGGUUGAAGGUUGGGUAACACUAACUGGAGGACCGAACCGACUAAUGUUGAAAAAUUAGCGGAUGACCUGUGGCUGGGGGUGAAAGGCCAAUCAAACCGGGAGAUAGCUGGUUCUCCCCGAAAGCUAUUUAGGUAGCGCCUCGUGAAUUCAUCUCCGGGGGUAGAGCACUGUUUCGGCUAGGGGGCCAUCCCGGCUUACCAACCCGAUGCAAACUGCGAAUACCGGAGAAUGUUAUCACGGGAGACACACGGCGGGUGCUAACGUCCGUCGUGAAGAGGGAAACAACCCAGACCGCCAGCUAAGGUCCCAAAGUCAUGGUUAAGUGGGAAACGAUGUGGGAAGGCCCAGACAGCCAGGAUGUUGGCUUAGAAGCAGCCAUCAUUUAAAGAAAGCGUAAUAGCUCACUGGUCGAGUCGGCCUGCGCGGAAGAUGUAACGGGGCUAAACCAUGCACCGAAGCUGCGGCAGCGACACUCAGGUGUUGUUGGGUAGGGGAGCGUUCUGUAAGCCUGCGAAGGUGGCCUGUGAGGGUUGCUGGAGGUAUCAGAAGUGCGAAUGCUGACAUAAGUAACGAUAAAGCGGGUGAAAAGCCCGCUCGCCGGAAGACCAAGGGUUCCUGUCCAACGUUAAUCGGGGCAGGGUGAGUCGACCCCUAAGGCGAGGCCGAAAGGCGUAGUCGAUGGGAAACGGGUUAAUAUUCCCGUACUUGGUGUUACUGCGAAGGGGGGACGGAGAAGGCUAUGUUGGCCGGGCGACGGUUGUCCCGGUUUAAGCGUGUAGGUGUGUGUUCCAGGUAAAUCCGGUUCACUUUAACACUGAGGCGUGACGACGAGGCACUACGGUGCUGAAGCAACAAAUGCCCUGCUUCCAGGAAAAGCCUCUAAGCAUCAGGUAACAUCAAAUCGUACCCCAAACCGACACAGGUGGUCAGGUAGAGAAUACCAAGGCGCUUGAGAGAACUCGGGUGAAGGAACUAGGCAAAAUGGUGCCGUAACUUCGGGAGAAGGCACGCUGACACGUAGGUGAAGUGAUUUACUCACGGAGCUGAAGUCAGUCGAAGAUACCAGCUGGCUGCAACUGUUUAUUAAAAACACAGCACUGUGCAAACACGAAAGUGGACGUAUACGGUGUGACGCCUGCCCGGUGCCGGAAGGUUAAUUGAUGGGGUCAGCGCAAGCGAAGCUCCUGAUCGAAGCCCCGGUAAACGGCGGCCGUAACUAUAACGGUCCUAAGGUAGCGAAAUUCCUUGUCGGGUAAGUUCCGACCUGCACGAAUGGCGUAAUGAUGGCCAGGCUGUCUCCACCCGAGACUCAGUGAAAUUGAACUCGCUGUGAAGAUGCAGUGUACCCGCGGCAAGACGGAAAGACCCCGUGAACCUUUACUAUAGCUUGACACUGAACAUUGAGCCUUGAUGUGUAGGAUAGGUGGGAGGCUUUGAAGUGUGGACGCCAGUCUGCAUGGAGCCGACCUUGAAAUACCACCCUUUAAUGUUUGAUGUUCUAACGUGGACCCGUGAUCCGGGUUGCGGACAGUGUCUGGUGGGUAGUUUGACUGGGGCGGUCUCCUCCUAAAGAGUAACGGAGGAGCACGAAGGUUGGCUAAUCCUGGUCGGACAUCAGGAGGUUAGUGCAAUGGCAUAAGCCAGCUUGACUGCGAGCGUGACGGCGCGAGCAGGUGCGAAAGCAGGUCAUAGUGAUCCGGUGGUUCUGAAUGGAAGGGCCAUCGCUCAACGGAUAAAAGGUACUCCGGGGAUAACAGGCUGAUACCGCCCAAGAGUUCAUAUCGACGGCGGUGUUUGGCACCUCGAUGUCGGCUCAUCACAUCCUGGGGCUGAAGUAGGUCCCAAGGGUAUGGCUGUUCGCCAUUUAAAGUGGUACGCGAGCUGGGUUUAGAACGUCGUGAGACAGUUCGGUCCCUAUCUGCCGUGGGCGCUGGAGAACUGAGGGGGGCUGCUCCUAGUACGAGAGGACCGGAGUGGACGCAUCACUGGUGUUCGGGUUGUCAUGCCAAUGGCACUGCCCGGUAGCUAAAUGCGGAAGAGAUAAGUGCUGAAAGCAUCUAAGCACGAAACUUGCCCCGAGAUGAGUUCUCCCUGAGACUUAGAGUCUCCUGAAGGAACGUUGAAGACGACGACGUUGAUAGGCCGGGUGUGUAAGCGCAGCGAUGCGUUGAGCUAACCGGUACUAAUGAACCGUGAGGCUUAACCUUA
rnacentral:rRNA from 1 species